CAAACUUUCGAUGGCGACCGGCGCACGGGUGAGUAACACGUAUCCAACCUGCCUCAUACUCGGGGAUAGCCUUUCGAAAGAAAGAUUAAUACCCGAUGUUAUAGUCCUACCGCAUGAUGGGAUUAUUAAAGAAUUUCGGUAUGGGAUGGGGAUGCGUUCCAUUAGUUAGUUGGCGGGGUAACGGCCCACCAAGACAACGAUGGAUAGGGGUUCUGAGAGGAAGGUCCCCCACAUUGGAACUGAGACACGGUCCAAACUCCUACGGGAGGCAGCAG
rnacentral:rRNA from 1 species